UAAAAACUGAAGAUAAAACUUUAUGAAAGCUGGUUAAAAAGAAAAAUUGUGUCUGGGAUGGGAAUUUGAUGUUUCUCCAAUAAUGGCGAGCUCCUGCUGUUGUAGUUAGCAUGCACAGCCCAUAGAUGUAAGAGGCUUUAAUUUAAAAUUUGUUUCAGACAUGAGCAAAGGUGCAGGUCAUUGAAAAUGCAGUGGUAGUGAUGCAUCUUAUUGCGUCAAUAGUAGUAAUGCUGCUGCCUUAGCUGUACACAGUACUGUAUUCCUUUUUACCUGUGCAAUUUAAAACAAGGUGGAAGUGAACUAUUCAGUUGUGGAUUUGCUGCUGGCGAUCUCACAGCUGCUGAUAAAUAAUGUCUGUAAUUGUGCUUUGCUGCAGGUAAGGCUACUGUUUCUCUCAGAGCCAUCUUCUGCUCUGUAGUGCUCCAGGAAUAAGGCACUUGGUUUCAAUGCAUGUGACCACUCUGAGAAUUUCUCAGAAAAGAGGUCUGUUAAUUUUGUGUUAGGAAGUCUCCUGUCACCAGUUACAAGCUUCUCUGACAGCUUUUAUAGCCAAAAAAAAAAAAAAAGCCAAAGCAAAAAAAACCCCACCUAACAGCCUAUAGCCUAUACUUUCAUGAUUGUGCAGAGCUGCCCUUUGAUGUCUCACUAUUAAGUUUUUUAGAUAGCAGGAUCAAAUCCAAAACCAGAGUGAUCAGGCACGCACUGAAUCAUCUGGCACUAAUUUCCUUACCCUGAGGUAUGACAGAAUAUUAUUGCCCUUAACUUAAAAAAUGGAGAAGUCCCAGCCCUAGUCCUGCUGUGUAGGAGAUUAGCAAAUCAUCAUCAAAGUAAAGCUCGAGCUAUUUAUGCACCCAGCACAAUCUUUCUAAAAUUUUGUUUGUAUGUCUGUUGAUGGUGUGUUGAAAAUCCCUUAGGCUCAACACUGGCCCUACGUGACCGUUGGGUUAAAAUUAACGUGAGUUAAACCUCAAGGGAGCCUUUGAAGUGGUCACUAAGUGCUUUUAGUGUGUUUCAAAGGCAUGUUGAAUGCUACGCCCAAGCUGAGUUUUUUAAACAAUGCAGGUAUGAAAAAGGUUGAUGUGAAGAAUAUAAUUUUGUCAAGGUUUCUGUUGUACCCAAAUCUUGGUUUGGUUUUCAGUUUGUAUGCUUACACUGACCAAUACAGAUUAUGUUCUCGUUUGGGAAAGGAAUGAAAAAAACACCUGUCUGCAUAACAGUCUGUCUUGCAAAGAGCUGAAACGUGCUUAAUUCAUAAGGGCAAUAGCUUUUAGGCACUACAGAGACUGAGCUUCUGAUGCAGGUAACAGUACUUGCUCUCUGCAGUUGUGCCAAAACAGAGCUUCCCAAAGAUGUGGGCAGUCAGUGCUGUUCUCCUGUAACGUCCUGUGUGUGAAUGUGUGAAUGAAGCCACAGAAAACAGCUGGCCCUUCUGUGAUAUUUCUGUACUAGGCUGCCCAGCUUACUAGAACUAGGUAAUGUGCAGGUUCUUUCCUAGUACAGUACUUUCCAUUUGGGCUUAAAAAGAAAGUCAGGGUCCUCGUGUCCCUGAAAUAGGGCCUUACAGGUGCUACCCUAACAGAUUAUAUACUGUUUGUUAUUAGAUAAGGUGACUGCCCUCUGUGUUUCCUGAUCACUGCUGUAACCUAACAAUCAUGAAUUCCUAAAGGCUUAUAUGCUCUAAGCUUUUGUCUUUAGAGGUGUAGUUCCAGUUCCUGGUUUGUAAAGGUGAGGCCUUGAUUUAAUGGCCUGAUAGAUAUGUGUCUUGGAGCUUUUGCUCACAGUUACCAUCAUUUCCCUUGCACUCUGAGGAUGUUCUUGUCUCCUUGUCUUUGGGAUGAGGGUGUCAUUGGUGCUCACCCAUUCUGCUAUGGUCACUGAAUGGGGUGCUGCUGCUCUUAAAACAGUGUUGCUGCAGUACAGCUUAUUGGCUUUCAAAUACCAGAUUUCUACUCUGCGUGGAGGCAGGAAACAGCUGCUGCCAAAUAGUUCUGCCUCUUCACGACUUGGGCCCUUACGACUGUGAAAAACGGAUUUGGUCGUACUAUCAUUUAUUUGAGCAGGUCUUAAUCUAAACAGCAGAGGGCAGUUUUGCACAUCUGUUUUGUGCAAGCUCAUCCUGCAAAAUCCCGAUUUUCAGAAUCUUCACGUCUGGAAGGGUGUUGCAAUGCAGCAUUUAUCCAAACAGAUUUGAUACAGUGUAUGAUACGUGGCCAGUGGGGGCAGCAGUGGCAUCUGUUUCUACUGACACCUAAUUUUGGCAUUUUAAAUCCUCACGUGUUUGUUGUGGUUAUAUAAUUACAGCCAUUUCCCUUCUCCUCCAUCCCUCAGCCCAAACCAAGUAUAUAGGGAAGCCACCUGCAUUCUGCCACUUAAACCAUGCCAGAAAAUUCAACUGCAUUUCAUUCCCUGACACGUCAGAGAAGGAUUCCCCCUGCCCAGAUGUGAUUUUUCUGGAUAAGCUUUGUUAGCCUGAGUGAAAUGAGAGCUGUCAACUGCAGUAGGGGUGGAAGAGAAAUAUACUUUCUUUAGCCUGGAGUUGGGGUUAACCACCUCCUACUUUUCCUCCCACCUCCCCCCCUCCCAAAAAAGCAAAAUGUUGGCAUUAGGGCACAGUUUUGUGUAAUCCUGUAGCUGACGUGGAGGAGCUGGUAGGCUCUCCAAUGCCUAGGAUGCAGCUGUUUGUAGCAGAAUGGCACUCUGGCUUAAGACCAAAUUGUAACCACUCCUAUGCUUCUGAAGAGCUGUUUCUGUGCUUUGUGGUUGUGUUUGCAGGGGAAGGUAUAUGUUGGUACUGUGAGUGUAAAUGAAAGUGUUCGCCUCUGUAUUAUCCAUCAGCAAGCAUUUUUCUAGACAUUUCACUGGUUAUUAUGAAAUAUUUCAGAGUCUGCUUAAAGCAUAGCAAGUACCUAGAGAAAGUGAGCUGUUCAAUAGAAGAAACCAUCUCUGCAAACCAGAUUUUUCUCUCCUUAGGUCAAUCUGGAUGUGUUACACCCUCGAAGGUAGCCUGAAAGACAUAGAAAUUCGCUGUAACAAACAAAUCCUUGCCUGCUUUGGCAUGUAUGUAAAAGAGCAUUUCCUGGAGCUCUGGAACAACCUGAUUAGCAUCUUUUGUUGUAUUUAAAAUGUUUAAUUAGAAGUAAUGUACUUUCCGCUGUGAUGAUUAAAAUGACAAUGAUUAUUGCAUGAAUUUGUUAAUUAUAAUGCAAUGACUAAUUAAAUGGAGAAAUGGAGAAAAGGGAUUCCUGAGCAAGCAUGUUCUUUGAGAAAGUCUCCGCUGGUGUUUUUAAUUGAUAGUACAUGUGUAAUCAGUUCAUACCAGUAUCUCAUUACUGAUGGCAAUGGUGUUUGGUUUUGUUGGAAAUUUGCCGUCACGGCACACUGACCUGGUGUUAUGUGAUUGCUUGGUCCUGUAAAUGAAGAAUACAAACUUGUAGAAUGAAGGAAAUGUAAGCCUUUGUUUAUAUAUAAUGAAGAGAAACCGUAACUAUUCCCAGGUUGUAGCCUCCGUGUUUAUUGAGUUCUUCCAGCUUGGGUGUUUGCUAUAAUGGCCCUCAGCUGAAUUUGCACAAACAUGAGGGGUUGCUGUUUGUUUUUCAUUUGCUUUUCUCUCUCUAUCUAAAGUUCUGAGCAUUAACGUUAGGCCCCUUGGCUUAUGUAAGAAGUUGUCUGACAAAGCUACAAGCCCUUUUUUACUUCUCUGUUGGGAUGUCAUCUGCUGGCCGUUGGCACUGGCAGAAUUCUUAGCAUGAAAAUGUUAUUAUUACCUCUGUGUCAGCAGAGAUGUGUGUGACACUGUGAAGAAUCUGUCAAGAGGGAAUCUGUGCCUCUGCAAGUUCACAGUCAAUGGUCCUGAUCCUGUAACUUACUCUGCAAGGUCCCUUCCUUAGGGAAACCUAAGUUACCAAGAUCAGGACAUGGAGACAGUGAAACAGGAAGGGAGAAGGUAGGGUUUAGGAAAAUCUGUUUGGUUUGUUAUUUAUUGAGUGGAUGUUUUGUUGAUCUGAUUUAUGUGUAUAGCUCUAAAAUGUGCUUCUUUUCUACAUCGUGUUAUGUUCAGACUGGUUGAGUAAUCAGUACUAGUUACUAUUGUCAUCAGGAAAAAUCAGACCUCAGAUGACUGCUGACCUGGUUGUAAAUCAUGAAACCUACCAUAGAAAAACGAAACCCAAACAUUAAACAUCUCUUUAUGGUUGAAAAUAUUUGAGGCAUAACACCCUCCAUCCCCCAUACUGAAAUCAAAUACCAUGAACUGUCAACACUGGGUUAAUUAUUCUACUGGCAGUGCCAGUAGUCCUGCAUUUCAUAGGUAGCUUCUGCAUUGCAAAUAUAAGAAGCAAUCUUUCAAAAUUUGUCUUGUUGUGUGAUAGCAACUUGAAAUGGAACUCUGACUGUUCUGUCAAAAGUUACUUUAAAAAAGUUAUGUUCUAUGCCAUAGUGCCUUAGUUUUGGUGACCCCCAUCAUGCAAAUGGAAAUGAUGGAACAUUGUGUUAAGUGGGCAUAAGCAAACAGCCUCGAAAGCAAUGUGGUGAGUCAGCAUCCAUCCUGUAUGUUGAAUUGAAAACUGUGAAUAUGUGAGGAACUGAGAAAAUUGUUGAAAACUGGAGAAGUACUUUACUGCAAGAAAUUUAUAUCCUAGUGUUGGCCAUUUUGCAUUAAAAAUAACACAGCUUUCUACAGCUUGCCUCCAUUACUCAAAGCCCUUGUUGUUAGAGCAGAUGUUAUCUAUUGACCUGAGUGGCUGUACUCUCCUUUUUCUGCUUUUGGGAUGAUACCUGGAAAGGAGAAAAAUACGUGCUCAGCAGGAGCUGGCUGUGUGGUAGCUGUGUAUGCAGAGGGCUGGAUGGUUGGACACGUGUGGCGUGCCACCUUCAUGAAUCAACAGGCUGUCUGCUUCUUAGUGAGAGCUUGGGCUGUGCACUUCAGUGCCUUGGAUUCUCUGAACAACCAUGGAUAGUACAUACUGAUAAUUUAAAUUCGUUUUGUAAAGCACACAGAAAUGCUGGGAUGGAAUAUACUGAUAGUAGAAAGUAUUCUUCCCUUGCUUUUUGUAAAAAAAUGUGAAGCAGGGGAAACAUCUAGCUUCUUUUUAGAGUUACUCCCUUUGUUUUGGUUGUUAUUAGGAUGUUGUUUACUAUGAGGCUCUGCCAAGGUCAAUCAGUGGCAGUGUUCUCUCUGCUGGGUUGCCCUCAGAAGUUUUCAGCAGGCCUGUUAAUAUCUGUCACUGUGCUAUAGAUCUUUUCACAGGUCGAUGUCUCCUACCUUGGGCAGCACAUUUUCAAUAAAAGCAGUCGCGUCUCCCUGGUUUUAAAUAAAAGUUUUAAGAAAAUGGAUUGCAGUCUACAACUGCCAGCAGUUGUUCAGGCUCAGGAUUCUUCAUGACCUUUCCUUUUCUCAAUUUACUGUUCAAAUUUUGCCUCCCCACCUCCUGGUAAUAUUCCAGGUGUUCUGUGCUUGGACUCAGGGUGACAACACAACCUUUACUGUUGAUCGAUUCAGCAAGGACUUUGUAAAUACCCUACAAAGUAUUCUUAGGUCAUCGUUGUAUUUGUGGUCAUCAAAGUAUUCAAAUAGGAUCUCUGGGCUUUUGCAGAAAGGCUGCUGUAAGAUUGAUUUAUUGGAGCGGCAUAGGUUAUCUUCAUUUUGGGGAAAUUAACUGUUUUUUUCUUUCUUGGAAAAGCAAGUUAUUUUUGCUACUAUCAGAGUAUCACCCUUGCUGACCUGGCUAUUCAGGGCAUAAACAGAACAGCUGUGCUCUUGGGAGGCCUCACAGAAUCCAGGGGCCAUAGCUAAUGAUUAGCCAGACAUACUGCUCUUUGCACCAGACCUAAAUGCAGUCUGCUGCUAAACACUUCUCACUGCCCAUAAGAUGUGAGAAUGAGCGUAUGUUUCCAAUGGGAUGUAUAGGAGCAGAAAGGCCUUUGCCUAGAGGCAGAGUUUUGCAGGCAGGCUUGGAUGUCUGAUGUGAGGCUUCUGUUGCUCCCCAAAAUGGUUGUCUCUUCCAGUAGAGUUCAGGCACUAGGACUGUUGUUUUCUGACUAAACAGGACUCUGCUUUGGCCAGAACUUUCAAGUUCAGCAUCUUUCAGUGAACAUCAGAAUUCACAUGCACCAAACUCUUUUUUGCUUUUUAACUCAGAACAUGAAGGUCAUACAGAACAAUCAGUCUGCUGUCCUCUGUCCUCUGCUGGGUAUCUUCUGAAGGUGGAGUGCCUUCCUUUUGCUAUUGGAGGGACUUUGUAUUUUGGCUUUAAUUUUUUCAGCGUUGAAAGGUUCUUUUUAGCAUACAAAGGAAAUGUGUCAUCACCGAAGCACUUAACGGAGUUCAAUUUUAAGGGCUGCCAUCAGGGCACACGUCUGCCGAGGUAGCUGGUGCAGCAGGACUGGGAAUAGGACAUCAGCUCUAGGUUCAUGUCUGUCACCUUGGAACAAGGUAGAGCUGACUGUCCCUCCCACUGAGGUGGAUGUGGGAGGCGGGAAUCUGCAGGCCUCAGUGUAAACACCAAGCUUUCAUGGCAAAGCCAAGUUUGGCUUGAACUUCCUUUGGGGUGCAUCUUUCCCUUUUUCUCAGACCAAGCAGUUUCGCAGUGGCCAGGUUUGGUUGUAAAAGGCUGAGAGAAAACUUGACCUCGUUUUCAUGUGGGUGCCUGCAUACAGGCAGUGUGGUGAGAUGGGAGCAUACUUUGCCUCAUGUAUUCUGGCUUGCCGGAGCCAGUGCCGCUAGAUGGCAAUGUGGUACUCUGGAGUACCUUUUCCUUCCUGUACAAUAAUUGCUUUUUCUGUAUUUAUCUCUGCCAAACUGGUGAUUGCACCCACCACCCCGGCAAGAGAACAGAACAAAAUCAUUUCAUAGAACAUUACAGCCAUUGUGCCUUUUUCUUUUCUUUUUUCCUUCCUUUACCCCACACCCCCGACCCCAGUUCUUUGUCCCACAGCAGGGUGCAGAGGUUUAAAAACUUUCUUAAUCACUCUCCUUCUAAAAACAGAGAAAACACAGUCUCUUGGGAGAAAUUAGCUGUGAGAAAAGCAUUUCUCAAACAAUUGCCAGGAAAUAUUGUCUUGACCGAUAUUCCUGAUGUAACACUGUCGUUCUCAGUGCUGUUAUUCUAAGAUACUUGCCUGCAGAGCCAGCAGGGUACGGUUCUGUAAUGUACGAUCUGCAGUUUACCACCUACCUUACCUUUUUAUAUCCAUUUACUUUCAGUUUGUGUCCUCCUUGCACUCCCUGCAGAUAUUCUGCUGGGGAGAGUGAAGAAUUAUUUGUGACUCUCCUCUUGUGACUGGUGUAUCACGCCAAGGCUGCAACAAGAUACGGCUGAAAAUUAAGGUUAUGCCUCUGCUGUGCCGGCUCCAGAUUGAAAUUCUCUGGCAGUGUGCUGUGGAGGAGGUCAGGCUGUGUGAUUACAGCCAUCCCUUCAGACUCAAAAGCUGGCAGCCCUGGUGUACGUGAGGUUGGUGAAGCCUGAAUUUCAGAAGGAGCAGCUUGAGAGAAUGAGUACAUGAAGCAGACAGCAACUGUGUGCUGAAACUGGAGUCCUGACCCUGAAGCCCUUUCCCCAUCGCUGUGUUCCUACAAGAUGGACGGGGCUGCAGAGAGUGGAGAGGUCAAAGAAAUGGGGAUAAACUCACACUGAAAGCUUAAUCAGCAGUGUCUAGGAAGCACUGCUAGCGAGGUGUGCAUACACUCGUGUCCAUUCACAUGUACAGCUGUAUUUGUUUGUAUUAUGAGGCUCAAAUUCUGCCCCUCUUUACAUACAUUCAUGGAGAUUUGAGAAAUGAGCCUCACUCUGUGGGACAGGGUGUGAACUGAAGCACCUUCUGGAAGACAGACAGCAGUGUAAUCCUUUCAUUCAACCCUGUCUGCAGCUGCUUUUUAUAAACUUGGCAUAAAUACGUACUCAGUGAGGCCAGGCCUGUGUAGCUGGAAAAUAUUUUCCACCAUCCAAAAAAACAGAAGAUUGGAAAAAGAGCCCAGAAAUUGUGCAUAACAUGGAAUGGCCUCGCUUGUGGUUUUUUUCCAUGACUUCCUCAGCUCAUUUUUCUGCUGCCAAUUUUAGAAGCCCAUAAGUCAUACUUGUUAAACUUUCUCAGUUAAAAUGUAACUCUAAGAACAAAGUCAUAUGAUAUGUUGCAGCCAAAUAAUCCUUGUGGAGCCUCUGGCUUGAGAACAGCCACCCUCUUGCAGACCUGCAGGGGCUCUGUCUUGGGGCUGGGGGCAGAGAGCGGCACAAGGCAUGGCCCCUUGACUUCAGCAGGAGGUUCUCCCUACUUUUGCUACAGUAGUUGAGCCCGUGGUGGGUUACAUUGCAGAGCGGUUGGUUUGGAAGGGGAGAAGUUUCAGCUUCUCCUCUAGAAACACUUUAAAUAGGAGGUAGGCAGAGGGAGCGAGAGGAGGCAGUAUGGAGGCCAGUGGAAUCCAGUAGUGAAGCAAGUGCUGGGAAGCUGGUGCAGGUAGGAGCUGUUGCCAUCAGGGCAAACUAGCUGAGGAGAGAGUGCCAAGAGUGAAAGUGAAUUUGCUGGAAGGUUUGAAGAAAGGGCAUCCUCUCUUGGGUGCAUUUUUAAGCAUUGAAUCAAUAUGGAAGUACUUGCUUGCCAGGAGCAAUAUUUUCCUUUUCCAGUUUUGCUCUCUUAUAAGGUGAUUGGGCUCACAUCUGAGCCCUGAAUGGUUGUCCUCAAGACCAUCUCUGUGUCCAGCUUCUGCUCUGCUCCCACCCAAAGGACAAAUCCCAGGUCACUGCUGCAGGGGGGAACUGCUCUAAAUUUACACUUGGGCAACAGCUGAGGGUGGAACUGGCUGUGAGCUCUGCCAGCAGAAUCAUUCCAGCCAACCUUCUCUGAGGCAGCAUGUGUCCCCAGUGCUGCUGGCCCCAGUUUGUGCCCCUGAGGCCUGAUCCAUCAGCUACCUGCAGGGAGCUGCUGUGUCAUGGGCAAGCAAGCCUGGAAGCCAGGGCCAGAGUGGGGCAGGGGAGGGGGUCCAAAGGGAUUUCAUUGAAAUUUGCUCCUUCCAGCCCUGCCUCCUAAUUGUGCUGGGAAGGAGCAGCAUGGGGACUCGCCCUCUGCAGAAAACUUAAAACAAACAAACAAAAAAAACCACAGUAUUUCUAUUUUUUCCCUUAAAAUAGCAGUUUACAAGUUCAGUUCAGGCCCUCGGCGUAGCCUGGUGAAAGUCAGUGGAAUGGGUCUGAAAGCCAGGCGCGAAGACCACCUUUUGUUGGCACUGUGAAGUGUCCAUUCAACAUCUGUGUGGUCUUCAGGGAGAAACUGAGCAAACCCACUGGAAAUUGGCAAGGGUGUUGUAAUGUUUUUGGAAAGAUAGUUUCAAAACCCCAUGGCUGCCUCUCUCUGCUGGCAGCCGCUUUCCUGCCAUGACAUCCAGAGAGGUGGUGGUGACUGAUGUAACUGCAGUGGCCGGGCAGAGUCACUUGCCCAAUGUGUAGAGGCUGGCGGGCAGCCAGAGAAAUGUGCUAAGGCCAAGUGCUCUCACAAUAGGCUCGCUGUCCCUGCAUGCAUACCUGUAAGUGGGUCAGGUGCUUGGCACAGCCACUUCCUGAGACAAUGAAGAAAGCUAGUGGAGCUACCCAGCCAGAAGAAGAGGAGGAGGUAGAAAAAGGAAAAAGAUUUUGUUCUUGUCCUGUGUGACUGCAGACCUGAUGUGUCUCUAGGCACGUUUUGUUUGCGUAACAGUAUUGCAAUUAAUAAUGAUACCUGCUCGUUAUAGCCAGCCAUUCUUUAUGGUAACAGUGUGAGGCACUGGGGAGAGGGUGAGGAGAGGCCUAGCAGUGCUCCUGCUGGACCAUCACCUUUAGGGUAUUGUGACAGACUUGUGAAAGGAUCUCUUUGUAUGAACAGGAAUAUAAUGCUCAGCUGGGCUCUUAAAUUCUGACUCUGUUGAGAAGAGAGAUCCUUUCAUAUUGAUUGUCAUUCUGUAUGCGGUUCAGGCACCGACUUGUAGGAAAUCUGGGCCAGGAGAGAUAUCAUUAGGUAUUUAUGGGGGUUUGGUUGGCUCAGCAGUCAGUUUUUCCAUUGUCAUGCCGUGACAGUAGUGCAUUACAUACACCCUCAGGAGACGUCCUUCUGCUUCCACAACAACAAAGGACUUUUUUCUUUUUCUGACUCAUCUUCAGCUUAAAAAAAAAAAAAAAAAAAAAAGGACCCACAGUAAAUAUAAUUAGCAACAGGCAGACAUACCGUAUUUAGCUCUCAGAGCCCAUUGGGAUACGUCCCAUAAAAAUAUGCGCUCAAGGUUGCUCACCCCAAGUUUCAAUGUCCUGUAGUUUUCCUCAGCGGCAUUCCUGGUUAUACUUAGAUGUAACCCAGUGAUGCUGUAGGCUGAGAAGUCAUUUCUAGUUUGGAGUAAGAGGAAGAAUACACUUAGUGCCGGGAUUGUUUUUCAUACACAUAGGGGAGUUCCAGCCAGGCUCAUGGCUCACAGGACAAUGCAUGAGAGUGGCUGUGCUGUGCCAGCUCCAAGGCCCAGCUCCCCAUCCUGCCUGUGAUGGGCCAGCAUUGGUUGCUGCAGAAGGAAGGGUGGGACGCAGAGCUGGACCAUGCUGGUGCUGCCACUGGGCACCCACUGAGGGAUGGGGGAAGAGGCAGCCAUCAUCCUGUCCUUCUGGUCCCACCACACAGUGCUCUGCUCUCUUUGUUCUGUGCAGGGCAGGUAGCAAACCCAGUGCUGCUCUGUUUUGCUUUGGCUCCAUGUCACAGGAGGAUUUCUAGGUUGAACAUGUCCUGGCUCCUUCGGUAUUUCCCCGAUGCAAGUGCAAUGGAACAGGUGGCAUGCAGCUGAGCCCUGCUUUCUGCCAGGUGGGUGUUCCCUUACGCCGUGGCCCACGCCAUUCUGGUUAGGGGCUGCCUUGCAUCCCACCUGUGCCAUUGGAGCACCCAGAGCCAGGAGCCGGCCCUUGGGCCCGUAUUUCACCUCCAGGAAAGCUGAUGCUGAUCACAUGGCUGCAAGCAGGCCAGCUGCAAGAUUAGUAGGGCUCUGUUUAUUUAUUUAUUUCAACCUGUGACUAACUUGGGGGAGUAUUUGGAUGCCAGCCACUCCUCACAGAAAAGUACUGUUUAUAUUUGGGUCUCCUGAGCAGAGUCAGUCGGCUCUGGACUGCACACAGCCCGGCAGUGGUAUGCGGGCUCUGCUGGCAUGUCCCUGUGUAACCUGGCAUUGGUGCUGCCGGACAGAGCGUGGGCUGGCCCUUUGCUCAUCCUCGGCUUACGUGGCCAGAAGUUUUCCUCUGUAUUUCUGGUUGCUGAGCUCAGAGGGGUGGAGGAGAGGGAGAGCAAGCUCUCAUCUGAAAGCGGCCAGGCAUCGCACAGGGCCAUAUCAGGGGGAACGCUGAGAAAAACAUGACUGCGUGGGUGGGGCGAUGUCUCUGUAUCCCUAGACAAUAUUGCAAGGCUCACCUGCACAGAAUGUGUUCAGCCCAAUCACCAUAAGUGCUAUGUGUAAGCAAGUCAGUACCUGCUGCCAUGUGAUCAGAAGGAAAGAUGCUUUUAGAAACAUGCGAGGGUGGCAUGAAAAAACAAGUCAGCUGAAAUAUCUUCAGCUUGUAGGACACCUGUGGAUUAGUAGACACGAGCAAAACAGCGCACAGAAUCCCCUCAGAUAUUAGGCUGUCAUUUAUUUCCACUAUCUCUUGUCAAAUUUUGCCUGCAUAAACUACUAAUUUAUUUGAGAUCUGGUCAGUUCAGGACCUUGGCUCCAGACACACCUAAUCUCCAGGGGAAAAGUAGAGCCAGCUCAGCCAGCUUCAAUGGGAAAAGAGUUCCCAGAGGGUCUUGUUCCCCAUGGGAGGGCAGAGAGCAAGGCUUAGGAAUAGCCAAGAGGGCACUUGGUCCUUGGGGCUAUAAGUAGUGCCUGACUAGGUUCAAGAAUGGUAGCUGGAGAACUAGUGGUACAUGAUGAAAUAUGAUUUCAUGUUCUUCAGGUGAGGAAAAUUCGGAGAAUCCACUUGCCAGAUAUAUGCUACAGCAGAUCUCCUAAAAAAGUGAAUGGGUGAAUGGUCGGUCUGUCUGUCUGUCUGUCUGUCUCUCUUCCUUACCCUAUAGCAAUGUAAGUAGUACAAUUUUAUCUGAGUUUUCUGAUAAAUAAAUGACAAAUCCUGUCUCCAAAGCUUCCUGGAACUUCUACAGUACACCCCCACUCUGGGCUUAUGCCACAGCAUGGUGUUGUACGUUGGCAGAAAAGGAGAAGAUUUUCUCUAUGUAACACAGGGUGAGGUGUUCACUGGUCACAGUGUUAUCUGUGGGGUGAGAAGUGGGGCUGGACUCCUCUUGGUCUUCUGCAUUUUCUCUUAGCAUUAUAACUCUUUAGUGUGGGGCCUGUACAGAUAGUGAUCAGCGUCAGACCUACUGGCCUUCUGUCAGCAGUCUAAAACAUGGUGUUUUUUUGAGCUGAUUUUGUAAACAAGGUGUGGGCUGAAACUUUUUAAAGCUGCGGUUGCAAAGGCUAGAAAAUAGGAUGCCAGCUCCACUGCAGUAUGCUGAGAGUUAGUUGUGCUGAUAGACUUAUGGACUCGUUUCCAGAAGGAAAGACCUUGGCAUCCCAAACCACCAGGUCAGCCAUGGCAGUGCAGCAGAAACCCUCCAGAGAUGGGGAUCUGUGGGAGCUUUCCCUUGCAUAGUGGUGUCUCCUGGUCAUGCCCACCAGCAGGGCUGUGGGGCCAGUUUGUGUGGUGCUUGUUCAUGUGUAGUGAAUGGUUUGCAGGAUCCAAGCUGCCUAUGCCCUCCUUUUGUGAGCUUCUCAAACUAUGUCUUCAUUGGGAAGUAGCUGAGAGAGAGAAGCAGCUUUCUAACCAAGGGGAGAGUGAUGUUUUGUUGUUGAAGACCCAAACCUUAGCAGUGCUCAGAGGUGCUGACCUAGUCAGGUUUGGUCUUGGCAACACCUGUAACGUAAAGAUGGGGUAUUUCCAAAGAAAGCAAAGAAACCUGUGUAAAACCGGUGAAGUGUGAUUAGGCUUGCAGCAUUCUGUUCUCUAAAUAGGAGCAAUCGUGAUUUAUAUUAAGUUCUGUGGGAGGCAAAGGUGUGUCAGUCUGAAGGUAAAUUUUUUUUGCUGCUGCUUUAGCACAAUGGGGAACCUCAGGGAAGCCUUUCCAGAGGAUCUGACUGCACCUUGUCUGAUUUACAGCCCUCUGGCUCGUGCUGACACACAGCCCAGUCGGCAAGCUGUCUUGAUGUCUUGGUUGCAGCUUCCAUUUGGUUAAACAUGCAAACUAUCUUUCAGAGAGAAGGAAUGAGGUUAGGAAGAGGAAACUCUGCUCGACGUAGCUUGCAUUACUGAAUCAUACCUGGCUCAGCUUCGUAGUUUUCACUACCUAGGCCCGGGCUUUCAGUGGCUUUGGCAAUCAGCCCUAUGUUCCAUCAAGGAGUCCCUUCUUCAAGGAAGGUCAGUGUCACUUUCACUCCAUCCCUCCCCUUCUCUCUGGGAGAGUAAAGACCCCACUGGCUCAGGAAGAGCCCCAUCUGGUCAUGGUAGUCUGCAGGACAUGUUUCUAUUGGCAGCACCUAAGGAAAGCUCGAGGUGCCUGAUGGCAACAUGUUUGUGUCCUAAAGCUGCUCUGUGGUACUGGAGAACAACUACUGAAAAAUGGAUAAAUAAAUGGCCUGAAAUAAAACUGAGGGAAGAAGAAGCUCCAUCAGCAUGCAGACUAUGAGUUAGCUGUCACCCACUCCUGUUCCCUGUGGGCUGGGUGACAGUCUCGGCUCAGGAUUCGGUGACAUUCAAAGCCAUUCUCUGAGGGUGAAGGAACACAAAAUGAGAUCUAAUUUGUUCUUCAUGGAGCAUCACUUUCUGGCAUUCUUUUUCUUCUCGGCAAGAAACUAUGGGUAAUGUAUGUCAAUGUCAUCAAAGAUACAUUCAUGUUGCUCUCAUAACUGUGACCUUGUACCCAGCUAAAAGAGUUACAGCGGGGAAUGGGCAGGACGCUCAGCUUACGUGCACAGGGCAGAUAUUCCAAGCGGCAGCUAUGUUGGCAGGGCUGCCUGCCAUGCUGUCUGACCACGUCUGUGCCAAGUGAUUCUGGGAAAAUCUGGGCAGUGAUGCCACAGACCAGCAGCAGUGGAGGUGGAUUCCUGGAAGCUGUGCACCAUAGUGUGGGGACGUGGGGUGUGCUGCUGUAGGGAUAACUGAAAUGGGGGGGAGGGAUCAGGUCAGUCACACCGGCACAUCGCAGUGCCCUGUUCUACACAACCAGACCAAGAAAAUUGGCUGCCUCAGCUGUGGGGAAACAGCAUUAGCUGUCACAGCUUUCACUCAGGAUUAGCUAUGAGCUGGCCGUGCAGAAAUUGCUUUUAGAAUUAGUCCUGCCAGUUGCAUUCCCAACAAAGCAAAAAUUGUCUCAGGAACGAAGCUAAGGGAUCGCACACUUAAACCCUACCUAUCAUAAGGUUGCUAAACUUUUCUCUAGAGCUGAUACUACAAUAUUUACUGUAUUGGCAUGCUGUCUUUUCUGUUUUACUGUUGCAUGAUUGUAUUAUAAUGUGUUUUGUUGACAGGACUAUGCUCAGGUCAAACUGUGAAAAGGUAACUAUGGCCUUGAUUGCUGCUUGGUGAAACCAGAGUAAAUUACUGGAUGCCAAAUGAGUUCUUUCAUGUUUAUUUCAGAUUAAACAAGAUUAGAAUCUGGCCUUCAAAUUGUGUUAUUUCUCUAAUUCAGCUGGGUCAUAUUUAUAAAUUCAUGCGGUGGUCAGUGUGCUCCAAUAAUGCCAACACACAGUCUUAGCACUUGCAAAACAUUGGAUGUAUAUAUUGGCACUUCUCAUAUUUGCUGACUGCGGGACAAAUAGGUUUCAUAUUGGGACAUCAAAAUCUGUUUCAGCAACUGGAUGCAUGACAAAGCCAUGUUAUAAUCGGAGUACUGAUUACAGCAUUGAAACAUGUUGGUUCAGCACGUGGUAGAUUUGGAUGCGUAGGUAGAUAAACUUUUGGUUGGUCUGUGGUUUGAUUUCAGCAUAGAGAAGGUUGUCAGCAUAUUUGUGCUAAUUAAGGAAACGGCACGGGAAGCUCCUUUACACUGUAGGUACAGCCAGAACUCAGGAAAUACCAUUGCUUCCCAAUGUUUUUUAAAACAGCUAGCUUGCCUCCAAGGAGAGCUGCAGCUCUGUGUCUUAGCUGCAUUUCUAAAGUGCGACUAACUUUGUUUGGGUCUUGGCCAAGUCUCAUGUUUUUACCUGUUUCUGGGGAAUGGAUUGAACAGUUACAUCUCAGGGACAUUAGGAGACUAACUAACGUUUUCUCUGUAUUUGAGGACAGCAUCGCAGGGUUGGAGUCUCUGACUUGUUUGUAUUUGUUUGCAACAUUGACAGUAACUGAACACCAACAAAUAAACACAGGUUUGUGCUUGUGCUUGGCUAGGACUUCCAUGCUAUUGAAAAGAAUGCCUUUUCCCAACAGUUACUCUUUCUUCAUGCUGGCAGUAUUGUGGAUAUGUUGUGCUGCUUUUAACAUAUUCCUGCGUUCAGGUUCCUGAUUAGGCUGAAAUGUUGCCAGCUCUGUUAAGUCCUUUCUGUUGUACUGAGUCAGCUGCCCUGAUUUUAUCUUUGCUCUUGGUCAAAGUCUCACACUGUUAUCUUUUGUUCUUUUUCUAAACAGAAGAAAUUGCAGUACAAGUGUUUGUUCCGUAUGCUAACAUUUCCUCCUACUCUAAUGACAAAACCAGCACAUUAUUUUUAUCAUUAAUAGGACAGGUACACCUGGAAACCCCUGUUGUUUUUUGUUUGUUUGUUUCUUUUUUCCCUAGGAAUUUACAGCCCAAACACAAACGACAGACAAAAAUGGAUGAAGUGCCUUUAUUUGCAUUUAUGAGCAGAGAACUGACAUACCCACAACUAAAGGGAUACUUAAUUCCUUCUUAUUUAAAGGCCCUACCAAGAAGCGUGGCUAAGAACACACCCAGGACCAGCCAGUCCCUUCUCUCCAGAGGGUUCUGAACGCAGCGCUCCGGCCAGGACAGCCUCAUAUCUGCAUGCCCCUCCAUCGGAGCAAAGGGCAGCAGCCCAGGGCUCUGCCAGCACCUUCACUAGGUCAUCACUGUUUUCCUGUUUCCUGGGCAAGGUGCUCCCGGGGCUGCUGGCCUCCUGCCCUUUUCUCUUUACCAAGAGAGGGCCGGUGAAAGGCUCCCAAACAGUGGUUGCUGAGAAAGGGCUGCUCUGUGUGAGGUCAUGGCUGACCUUUCCCAAGUGCCAGUCCAUGGGAAUAACCUUGCAGCUCCUACAAGUCGUAGGUGGAGCCGGUUAUAACCUGAUUUGCCUUCCUUGGCAUUUUGAAGUUGGUGAAACAUGAUGCAUAAUGACACUUUGCUUUUGCAAGUAGGAGUCUGCUUUUAUGCCAGAGUGUCUCAUCUGUGAACCUCACCUCAAUGCAUACUGCUUAUUCAGAUAUAACCACGAAAAUGAGAGCUGGCUAAAGAAUGCCUCCAAUUGAAAGGAUCCACUGAAGCUCAUUACAACGAUCUUAAUGACUUCCAAUUCAGCUGUGUCUGUGAUACCAGAGUGCAAGUUCUGUGAAGAACACUGUGGUGCACAGGAUCCUGCUCCCUACCAGCAUGGGAGAUUUCCAUCUGGAGCACCCAGCCUUGCCCCCGUAGCCCCACUGCAGGCUCCUUGAGAGACUCUCUUCUUUCUUGCCUCUGCAUCUCCCCAGUGAUCAACCUCAUCUCUCAGUGGUGGCAGACUGACAGGCUGUAAAGUAAGUCCAGCUGGAAAGAAGAUCAUUUUGUUGUCUUCUGCCCAACCUCAUUUUUCAGCACUGAACGUCCAGUGGUGCACCUGUCUGAAACCUCCAAAGACCUGGAGAUUCCACACAGCAAUGAUUUUUUUUUUUUUAAUAGAUAAUUUAUUGUCCGUGCUCCAUUUCUCUGCACCUUUUAGUCAAUAUCCCAGAUGAAAGAAACAAACAGGAGAUUUAAAACAACAAGUCUCCACUCAAAUUUAGAUUCUGCAGAGAGCUCCAGAGCAGCUGGAGCAUUUAUGAAGUCUCCACACCAGUGGGUUUGCUCUUCGCUCAGUGUGUACUCAUCUCUCAUUGCACUGCAAUGAGUGCUGCAGAGCCACUCCUCAGCAGGUCCCUGGGGGUUGCAAUCAGAAUGCAUGGGCUGAGCAGCAUGGUUCUGCAGCUCUCAUUAGUCCCGGGCCUUUAUUCCUGCUUGACUCUCAAGGGGAAUUGCCCAUGAGAUAAUUGUAUAUUUCAUAUGAAAGGAGUAGUUUUUGUCUUUUCUCCACAUUUCCAUGGCCAAGCCUCACUUAGCAUCUGUAAAAUUUUGCAUCCCCAGAACCUAAGCACUCAUUUCUGAGGAAGAAUUCCUGUUGUCCAGUUUCCACUGGAACAUUUCUCUCAGUUGGCUGGCCAACUUCUCACACCUUGGCUUAAUGGAGGUGGAUCUCAGGCCCUCUAGUGCAAAAACAAAGAAUGAAAAAAUACCCUUCAUUCAGCAUCCAAGCAGCUCCCCAUGGGCAGGAUCCUGGACCCAGGGCAGACAAGGUCAGGGAGAGGUGAACUUGGAAAAGGCAUGUGAGAUCCAUCACUGGUGGUGCAGGAAGGCUAGCAGGAUGCUCGCCUGGCUCUGCGGCCAGAGUCCUGCACACAUUGCUUUCACAGGUGGGUGGUGCACGAGGAGACAUUCUGCUUAGAGGAAGCCUAGUCUUUCCUCACCUUUGACAUUUCUACACAGUAAAAAAAGCUCUUGGCUGUUUUCCGGAAGCUAGGAUUCAAUGUUGUUGUUUUUUUUUUUUUUUACUUGUUUUUCCACACAGACUAAACAUUCAUGUCAUAUCCUGUCCAAGCAGUUGUUUCAAUAGCUGCCCUGACAAUGAAAGCACUUGGGCUUAAGUGGCGAAUCUUCUGUGACCAGAACUGCUCUUAAUGAACGAUUACACCUUUGUAAAGCCAAAAUGGUUGUUAUUCAGCUUUGGCUUUUGACAGAAGCACUGAAAAUGUUUCUGGAUUGGAUGUGAAAUCUUGUGCAAUUUCUAUAAUACCAAGGUGGUAUUAAUGUGAAAAGGACACGGUCUGUCCUUUUCGCAUUAAUAGACUAAACAGCAAAACAGGAGUGGGAGGAUUAAAGCCUCAGUGCUUUCAUACACUGUGAAUCCACUGGAGUUUUACAGCUCUAGGAAGGGGAAUAUGCAAAAGCAGAAGAAAUCAUAGAAUCAUGGAAUGGCUUGGGUUGAAAGGGACCUCAAAGAUCUCUAUCCCAGUCUCUAUCCCUUGUCACCAGCAGGGUUGCGAACCACUGGUGCAAGCAUUAGAUCAGGUUGCCCAGGGUCCUAUUUAUCAUUGAUGUAUAAGAUGGAUGUAUAAUUUUGGAUGUAUAAGAAUAUGUGUAAGAAAAUGUGCAAGAAUAUAUUAAAUCUGAAACCAUAUAUAUAUAAACUCAAAUUGGCUUUUCUUUUAAUCUCUUUGAAGAUGUUGCUCACAUUUGGAAGGCUCUGGCAGGGGCAGGCAGGACUCUGGAGAACUGAGCGACUCUUCAUGGAGGUGGAGAAGUUCAGAGCUGUCCUUCAAAACGGAUUCAGCUCAUGCUGCAGCAAUGCUGCAUGUGCUUGGGGUGGAGGAGGCUGCAGCUUACUGCAGUCAGUGGAAACGGAGAAAAGCUCAAUCCAGGCUCAGGAUGCAGCACAAUUCAGGCUGCUUCGAAAUAGAAAUUCUUACAGUUGGUUGCUGGAUCCAGGGAGGACACAGUAAGAUGUCACUGAUUACCUCCUGGAGAAGCCACAGAUGACUGAUGACUGUUAAAUCACUUUUUCAUUGUGAACAGCACACAGCGGUGGGAUCUGCACCGGAGGCUGUUGCAUCACACGUCGUGGUUUCAGCAGAGCUUUGCAGAAAAAAAAAUGAAAGUAAACUGUGUUAUUUUGAGCCUGAGUAGUGAGUGAGUUCUCAGUAUCUAAAUGAGAGCUUUUAGAGUCAGCUCCAGGUGUUGCAGGAAGUGGUGGAGGUGACUCAGUAAAUGUCACACUUCCCUCCAAGUCAGUUGUGCUGUCCAAAAAUAACACUCCUUGGGCAUCUGGCUGCUCGGCAUGGCCCUGCUGUUUUCGUGGCACUCAAAACAUUCCUGCUUGGCACUUUCCUGGUUUUGCACCACCUUCCCUGUCACAAGUGUUUGUCUUUAUCUUCCUAUCUCUGUUCUUCCCCCUAAAGCCAGAGACAUGGCUAGUUAAGUUUUGCACAUCUCUGAAAACAAGCAUUAAUCCCUUUCAUCCUCAUUCCAUAGCUUUGAUGCAUUUUCUUAAAUAUUUAUGCCCCUUGCCUGACCACUGUUUCCUCUCCUGCUUCAGCUCAACACAUUUCUCACUGCAGCUGCCCUGUUGAAGCAUUGCUGAGGGCACUGACCACACACAGGCUUAAGCAGGCAGACAGCAGUGCAAUGGAAAAGAGAAACCUUUUGUAUCUGGCAGUGUGGGCUGUCCCAGGACAGCACCAAAUGGAAAGAGGAAAGGAGCCAGGAAUACAGAGAAGCUCUAAAGACUAUGUUAGGUUAGAAGAGAAAGUGUGAGCAUGUCAUCCCAAAUCCUCCUUCCCUCCCAUCUUAGGAAACAUGAAUGGGCCCACAGCUGGAGAACUGCAUAAGUCGGAGCAUCAGAUUUUGGUGCAUGGGUCAGCUACCGGCUGAAAGUGCCAGAUUGGUAGAGGUGUUGGGAUCUUUGCUGUUCUUUAUGGACAAGACCCAUAAAUUUCUGCAACUGCUGCUUGAUUUGGAUUUUGUAAAUUGACACUUCUGUUUUCAUCUGAGCCUUACUUGAGAAUGAUUCUUAUGACAGUUGUCUAACCACAGAGAUCUGCUCCUGUGCCUGCAGUAAUGCUUCAGACUAGGUACUGCUGGCUCCUUAAAAUUAACCCUUGUGCUCUCUUACCUGCAGGCAUCUCAACCCCACAGAUGUUAUCUCACAGCAGUGGGUUGGGUGCUGGUCUUGGAGAGGGAUGCCCAAGCUAUGUCAUACCUGCUAUUAGAGAUAUGGCUGUACCUCACAUGUUGGGGUGAAACCACUCUGGACCUCUGUAACAGAAAUGCUAAGUCAUAGACUGAAUCAGUGAUUGAGCACCUGGUGGGAAGGCAGGGCCAACCCAGGGGAGCUCAGGUGCACACAAUGCAUCUGAGUAACCAGAAGGAGUGGAGCCAGGAUCCACCUCUUCCCAGACCUCAUUUAAAGGCUGGCAGGGGAGGAAAGAGUAUUUUGAUGGAGGUCCCUGCAUUCCGGAGGCCUUCAAAGGCAUCCCAAAUGGCAUUAACAGACAGUUACAGUAUUUUACUGUCCAGCGUAUCCUCUCCUCCCGAUGGACUUGUGUUUGGCGGGGAGAUCUGGGAGGGAAUAUUAUUAUAUUUCUAGAGAGUGGCAUCCCUGGUGAAGAAGGAACUGGCUUUUUGGGGCUUUCCAGUCCACGUCAUUGCGCAACCUUAAGAUGCGAAGCUGCCCCUUGUACAAAUGCAGGAGGAGCUCCAGGUGAGCACAGUGAGUCACCAGAAGGAGUCUGAAGUCUAGUGCUCCCUUCAGGUGCCUACUGCAAAUCCUUCAGGUUACCAGGCAGAUAGCUAGCUACGGCUGGCACAAGAAAACAUUUCUGAACUUCAUAGGGAACCAUUAUUAUUGGCAGUCAUGAAUCAGAUGUGUGCUCUCCACCACCCCUGUUGCACUGCUGAACUGGGGUUUGGAUCUGCAGGGCUGGUGGAGGACUGCUGCCUCGCUGCUCUGGCUGCAGAAAGGAUAACAGGCCUUUUGCUGCCAUUCAUGCCUGCAUUUUUGGAUAGAGGGUCCUCACCUCCUGGGGAGCCAGCCAAAACCAUGGGAUGACAUUUGGGUCUGGGACUCUGUGAGCCAGGAAUACCUCAAAUACUGUUUGUUGAGACAUUAGCUCCAGUGGCCAGAAAACUCCUGGGAGUUCUGCAACUCAUUCCCUCCAACCACCCAGCAUUCAGCCAGACUAUGUUUCUCUGGUCUUCCUCCCACCAGCAGUGCUCUGUCUGUCACCAGUGGUUGGGUCUCCUGAGGGGAGAGAAUGGAGUUGAUGCUCUAUGUAUGCUGUCAGCCACCAGCUAUCUCCCCCGUCAGACAGCCGGGCACCACACGUGCUUGGGACUGUGCAACACGAGGGACUCGCUUCCAAACAGCACGGCGUUAGGCUGGGUGCUGGGUGUAUUUUACUUUGGAGUACUGUGAUAACUUCUCAAGCUUCCACUGUGAGGAGCAGAGAUGAAGGAGAAACAAGUGUUGGAAAUCUGGAGACAAAGAAUAAUAGAGCAGCCUGAGCUGAUCAUACUCCAGCCAAAAAAAUCUCCAAAGCAGCAAAACAGAGAUGGAUAAAGGAUUGCCAGUGAGUCAGAGGGAAGGAACGGCAGCCUUGUCUCUUGUUGGAGCAAAGAAUCUGUAAUGGAAGAAGAUUAAGUGCCAGGGAACUAAUAUCCCUCUGCAGUGAUUGUUUGAUCCCUCCUGUUGCCUCCAAAAAAGCAAGUUGCUGCUGGCUAGCAAGUGAGUGAAAGACGUGGUCCAAAAACUAAUCCAGUCUCUUGUGCCAAUAAGCGCAUCUGUUGGUGUGUCAGUGUUGAUCCUCCUUCAGUACAUGCCACAUGCUCGUUUCUUUACACAAGAUGGGUUGGAAGGGCCAUUAACUAGAUUAGAAAUUCUAAGGAACAAUUAAAAAACAUGCUGCUGCUUCGCUUUAAUCUUCUCUCCUUUAGCUUCCAGGCUUGUUUUCAUGCCGGUCUGACACAGUCCUAAGUUGCCUGCCGGGGGUAGGCUCUCGUUGCACAACACAGUGGGUGCUGAGCUGUGUAACAUCCUACAGCAACUUAGCACAGCACAGCAGCCCGGGGGCUCUCCAUCAAAGGAGUAACCCCAGCAGCAGGCAGGGUCAGAAUUGCAUUUACCCCUGAGAGGAGAAGGAAUGAGCUGCAGAACUGUGCGACUGAGGGCAGUGGGGGGUUUGCAGCGCAGAAGCAGCCCUGCUUGGAGCUGAUGCCCUGAGUAAUGUCUGAUUGCAGGGGGUGUUUGCUGAGAUGGGAAGCUGCUUCAUAAUUGCCACCGUAUUGUACAAAUGCAGUGGGAAUUUCAUGGAGGACAUAACGUAUUCUAAAAUGACUUUUUUUAUUCCUUGGGUAAGUGUUUUCCUCAUGCAGAACAGCAUUUAUUGCUAUUAUUAAUGGUCUCACUGGUCCUUGUGCUCGUUCUGAAUCUUUAUGGUUACUGUUAUUGUACAAUAUUGAAGGUACAGGCAGAUCCUGCCUGCCUGCAUAGCAAACAGUAGCAGUUAAGAAUUGGGGUUUUCUCAGGUUUGGGCACUAAGGUAUCUAGGCAUUCUCUCCUAUGUUGGUUUUUUUUGUGUGUGUGUGUGUGUGUGUGUGCUGAAAAGCCUUCAUCAUCACCACAUAUAGAAUGUAACAGCAAAAUGCUUCCCUACUGUAGGAAAUUAAGGGCAGUAUAAUUGCUCUUUUAAUCUCUUUGGGAUUUUAGAAAUGAAUGCUGUAGUGUCCCAGUAUUUCUGUAGGGCUGUGUUUGCUUAUCCUUUUUACAUUCUACAAGAUUUUUCCAUAUGGUUAUAGCUUAGGAUGCAUUACAGAGGCCUUUCAUCUUCCCCUGGAGCACAGGAUGAAACGGGUCGUUGAUGGAAUGAAGCAGCGAGACUUGUGAUCCUGUGCUCCGCUGCAUCUGAUACGGCCAAUCCCGCACUGCCAGGAAAGCCAUCAUCCCUUUUGGAACUAAAUUACUUGAUGGGGCUGCUUUAAAAUUGGAGCUACACCUAUUUGAUACUUUUCUGGAUGAAAGAAGAUUUGUCACUCUUCUUAUUGCAGAGUGCCAACAAGGUUUAAAAUCAAUAUCAGCCACGUUCAAGUGGGAAGAAAAUGAAAGAAACAAUUCUUCCACAGAGCCAGUCCUGCUUUCCUGCCUCUUCUGUAGCCGCAGAGAUGUCUGCCAAUUCUGGCAUGAGAAGACAUUAAAAAGUUCUUAAAUACUAAGAAUUCUUCUUUAUCUUUAAAUGUAGACUAAUGGGAACACAGUGUAAAUGGACAAAAGAGUGGAGUCGAUCAAGCAGUUAACGUGGUUCUUCCUGCUUAACAAAACAUACAAAAUAGCCUGAGUGUGUUUGGAAAAGACUGGUGUGAGGCAGUGGGUGCUGCCUCCUGCCUGCUGAGCGCUGGACUUCCCGUAUAAGCCUGAGGCUGGGCGUGAGCACAGGCCCAGAUCAUCGUCAGCUUCCAGUAGUCCAGGAGAGCUGACCUGAGAUGCCGGUGUCUCACUUGGUCCAAGCACUGAGUACCUGUUGUAUCUACUGAGUCUAAGCACAAUAAACCGUAGUAAAUCAGGAUCUUGGCACUCACAAUGCAGACAUCUGAAAUGAGCAGAAGCUCUCUCAGGAGAUGUUUCUCCCAGCUACAGAAAGAGGGAAUAGCUGCAUUACAAGAGGGAUGGUUAAAUCAUGGUUUUGGGUUUUUUGUUUUGUUGUGAUUGUUGUUUUUUCUUCCAAACUGCUCUGAAGCUUUGAAGAGGAAGCCAUUACUGGAGUACAAAUUACUCUUUAUUUUUUAUUUUAUUUAUUGCCUCAUUUUCAAGUAAUGAAAUUCUGAACGUACCUCCUUGUGAGCUGCUGAGAAAAAAGGAAAUGCAAGAGGAUUCUUAAUGUUGCUAAUAAAGUCAGGCGAACACUUUGCCAAAGAAUAUUUUUAUUACAAAAAUACCAUUUUAUUAAUACAAAUGGCCUUGAUAGGAUCACGCUUGUUGCAAAACAGUUUUGUUUAUAAAAAUAUACAGACCAAAUUAUCUGGUACAAAAUGUUCCAUUUUCAUCUGGUUGGAAUAAGCGAUGGAAUUUUUAAAUGGAAUGUAUUCACCUAGAGUAUGGUUUUGUGUGGGUGGAAACUUCAGUCAGUGGGGACAAUGCAGACGGAGUGGUGGUCCACUUGGCACCUCUGCCCUUCUCUGCUUGGGAAGAGGCUGGGAGUUUGCUGCAGUGCCCAGAGCAGCCUCCUUUGCUUCCUCUGCUCAGUAUGACCCAUUCUUAAUGCCUUUCUUGGCUAGCAGGCAGCAUGAUUUGAACCACAGGUUAUUUCCUUUCGACUGAAGUGGAAUAAAUGGGACCUGCAAGCAGUGCAUAAUGAUUGUGGCUGUGUGUGAGUGAGGAUGUUCAGUCAUUCAUCCAGCCGUGGUAUGUGGGCAAAAAUCCGUCCCCUUUACUCUACCUGAAAAACAUAGCCAUUUGUUUUCUUGGGACUAUGGGAGGAGUGAAGGCAUGGGUUGAUCCUGGGGUGGUGGUUUGAGGAGCUGAAAAGUAUCCCAUUAUCCCCAGAGGAGUGGGUACCUGAUGGAAGUAGCACCCAGAGCAUAGGGCAAGCUGCAGUCUGUAUGGAUGGGAGCACAGACACGCUGCCAGGUGUUUGCACACCCAUGUCUAUGCUAUCCUGAACAAGCUAUUUGCAUGCCACGGGCUCCAGCAUACCUUAGUUUUGGUUUCCAUUGCACAGUGUAGCCCUGGCCUACCCACUGGUGUCCAGGGCCUGGCACGCAUGGUCUGCAGGAGAUCUGCCUGCUGGGACAGUGAGAGGGAGGGCUGUGCUGUGCUGUGUGGUAAUGUUUAAUGAGCCACACAUGGACACAGCCCAAGUGCUAUGUGUGCAGCUGAGCAUUCGCACGUCCUGCAGUGCAUGAGGGGCCAGUGGCACCCUGUGCUCACAGCGCUUAGAGCUGUGUCUGCUUCAUCUGAGCUGCUUGUUUGCUUUUCCUGGAACUGAACCCCCGAAGGAUGUAGCACGAAACUUCUAAACCCCAGCAAGGCCUCUUUGCCUUGUGAUGCUUGUUUUCAUUUUACUGU